UACGUAGGGUCCGAGCGUUGUCCGGAGUUACUGGGCGUAAAGGGCGCGCAGGCGGCGGUGCUGGCCCGGCGUGAAAGCCCCCGGCUCAACCGGGGAGGGUCGUCGGGGACCGCACCGCUUGAGGGCGGUAGGGGCUGGUGGAAUGCCUGGUGUAGUGGUGAAAUGCGUAGAGAUCAGGCGGAACACCCGUGGCGAAGGCGGCCAGCUGGGCCGACCCUGACGCUGAGGCGCGAAGGCGUGGGGAGCGAACGGG
rnacentral:rRNA from 2 species